rnacentral:rRNA from 1 species
AUUGAACGCUGGCGGCAGGCCUAACACAUGCAAGUCGAACGAGUGGCGGACGGGUGAGUAAUGUCUGGGAAAAUGCCCGAGGGAGGGGGAUAACAAAUGGAGACGGUAGCUAAUACCGCAUACCAUCGGAGGUGCCCAGAUGGGAUUAGCUUGUAGGUGAGGUAACGGCGCACCUAGGGGACGAGCCCUAGCUGGUCUGAGAGGAUGACCAGCCACACUGGAACUGAGUCACGGUCCAGACUCCUACGGGAGGCAGCAGUGGGGAAUAUUGCACAAUGGGCGCAAGCCUGAUGCAGCCCAGCCGCGUGUAUGAAGAAGGCCUUCGGGUUGUAAAGUACUUUCAGCGGGGAGGCGUUACCCGCAGAAGAAGCACCGGCUAACUCCGUGCCAGCCGCCGCGGUAAUAC